rnacentral:tRNA from 1 species
GGGGAUUUAGCUCAGUGGCCUAAGCACCUGCCUCGUAAGCAGGGUCGUGAGUUCAAUCCCUG